rnacentral:rRNA from 1 species
ACAAUGGAUGUAGAGGAAAGUGGCGGACGGGUGAGUAACGCGUGAGGAACCUGCCUUGAAGAGGGGGACAACAGUUGGAAACGACUGCUAAUACCGCAUGACACAUAGAUGUCGCAUGGCAUUUAUGUCAAAGAUUUAUCGCUGAAAGAUGGCCUCGCGUCUGAUUAGCUAGUUGGUGAGGUAACGGCCCACCAAGGCGACGAUCAGUAGCCGGACUGAGAGGUUGAACGGCCACAUUGGAACUGAGACACGGUCCAAACUCC